UUUGUAGGCUGUUUUUUUUUUUUUGUUUUUGUUUUGUUCAUUUUUGCAUUGCAGUCAACACUUACAGUUUUUUUCUCUAUAUAUUUCAAAAAAUGUGAUAGGAUCUGCUGUGUACGGCACUGUGUAUACUUGCUGUACAUACUGUCUAUGUGUACUGCACUGUGUAUACUUCUGUUUAGUAUGUAUAUGUGUGGGGGGGUGUACUUAAGCUAGAAGGAAUUCCUGGAGCUGUGAGCAGUUAUGUUGUUUUGGGGUAGGGGCUAGCUACAGCUGUUAGGUUUCUGGGCGGCUACAGCUGUGCACUGACCACAAUGUCUCCUUGCAUUACGGAUUUUCUCAUGCGGAAAUCAACAGUAGAAAAUGUGUGCAAAGGAGUUGGGGAGGAAAUCUUGAGCAACAAAAAGUCACAAAUGUCCCUCACCAACACUUAUUGCCUCCAAAGCACACAUGCAGAUGUUGAAGUUAGUCUUGACUGGGCUUGGGAUCAGCCCUAGCUUGAAAAGCUUAGCACUGCAUGCUUUCAGAUUUCUGGUGCUAGCCAUUGUUGAACUGUGUGGCAAAGUGUUGUGGUGCAUGCCAAGACUUCUGUGUACAGUGCGGUCAGUGUCUCAUAAGUACUAGCAUUGCAUAUGGGCAUGAACUCUGGUGACCCCCUCCUUUUUUUUUUAUUGCCAGGCAGUCCUACUUACUGCUCCCCCCCCCCCC